ensembl:lncRNA
GGGCGGUGCCCCAGGGCGGGGCUGCCGUGAGGGGCGGGCGGUGUCCCCGGACCCCGUCGCCCUCGGUCCCCGCCUGCCUCGGAGCCGGGAACCCCCAACACUGAGCCUUCCGGCUGGUCCUCCUGCAUCGCGUUCCCCAGAGGUGUUUUGGAACAGAGAAUGGGCCUCUUGGUCAGCACCAAGGGCUGGGGAACGGUCACAGGUCUGUGUUCACCACAAAAAACUGCUUUCUGUUUCUCGAGUCCCUGCUGUAUAUCCCUUUGCCAGGCUGGGCAUGAGCUGAAAUUCCAGAAAAAUUCUGAAAUUUUGCUUCUAUAGCACUGAUGGGUACAGGGGAGUGGAAGGACUGAGGUUUGGUGGCUGUGGAGCCCCUCAGAAGCGCUACACAGCGUUGUGUCUGUGUCCUGGCUUUGGAAGGAAAUCUAAUUAAUUGUGACUGGAAGUCUCACCCAAACACAGCCAUUUUUGAUGGCAUGCUUUUCAAUGGAUUCAGCCAUACAGAACUGUGAGAAUCUGUAGCCAGAAAAUGAACAAUGCACCAAAUGUGGGAAACCAGCCCGGUUUGGCCACAAUAGCUCUGUGCCUUCAAUACUGUCAGUCUGGUGUGGGAAUGUUGAAGUAAAUGAACCAAACAGCCCUUAAAUCUACAGGUACUUGGAAAAUAGCUAGUAGUUUCCAUUUUUUUCCUUCCAACAGUGAACACCCACCUGUUUUUUCCAGAGCAGCACAACUGGUCUAUAUGGAACAUACCGGGAAACCAAGUGGGCGAUUGCCUGUGCUGUUUAUUUUUAUAGCUGUUGACAGCACUGGAAGACUUCUCUCAGCACACCCAGAUUGCAGUUUUGAUGGCAGAGAACGGGAUGGAUGAAUAAGGAUUAGCCCUCACAAUGGUUCAGGGUGGGCCAUAUCUCCAGAUAACAAGCCUUGAGGAAAAAAGCUCUGCAGUUAAUGAUGGAAAGCUGAAACCAGGUAAAAAGAACCAAUAGUGAUAUUAAAAUUUAAUUACAAUGAAGAUAUCCUUGUUCUGCAUUUAUGCUUUGAGCCUGUCUCUGAUUUAUUUACACUUACACAGAUCAAAAGAAACUCAGUUCAAAAUUACAGAGAAAAGAAACUAGCACAAACUGUAUAAAGCUCAGUGCCAGCAUUCCACUGUGAUGAAAUACCUGUGAUCUUAAAAUAGCUGCUAUGGUGACUGUUCCAUAAUUAGAUCAAGAUUUAAGCCUAUACAUUGUUCUCCAGCAAAAACAGAUUUCCUAUUCACCAGCAGAUUUUUUCCAAAAAAUAUUUUGACUAUUACCUUUAUAUAGCAACUAGACUUGAAUAAUAUAAUUCUUUAUUCAGUGCAUUAUUGCUCAAGUAGUUUCAUUCUACAAGUAACACAAAUCCUCACAAGGCUUGAAAUUAAUUUGCCUUAUUGUUUGCUUUUUAUUUCUCUUUAUUACACAGAGUAGUUACAAAGUGGCAAUAGACUAAUCUCUGUGUUUUAACAAUCCACACAGGUGUUCAUUUCCUAAAUGUUUUAAACCUGAAAUGAACCGUAUCAGAGCUAGCAGACUAUUACCAGUUAUUAAAGGUUUCUUGUGGAACAUCUGACACCUGUAUUAAAGUUGAAAUUGAAAGCUCUGUAAAUGUGAGUGCUUCACAUGGGUCCCCAGCCCAAUUACAUUAAACUCAUGAACUGCAGUUCAGGGAUGAUAGUGUGCUAUGGUAAUUUCCAGCAUGAAAUUGUCUCUUAACAUUGAAAUCUAUGAAGCAAAGACUGGAGUGUAAUGAAGUAAUUUAGAAAUUUACUGGCUGUACAGUGAAAAUGCAUAUCUUUAAAUUAGAACAAUUUUCCUAGCAGUGCCUUUAUAGUUUGGGCAGUCCUUUCUUCAGAAUUGCAGGUACCAGGAAGAAAUAUCUACUUGCUUGAUGAAAUAAAAAGCAUCAAGUGGAGUUCUUAGCCUUAGGA